UAGUAGGGCACCUGCGGGCCGGGGCUGCCUCCCGACGCGUGUGCAGGCUCUUCUCCCUCCGUCGAUUCGGAGGAGCCGGAGCGACCUCGGCCUCCAGCGUCUCCGGUGAACUGACGCGGAGGUGGCGGCCGGGAUGGUGGUGCUGGGCUUACUGCAAGCGGGCAGGUCGGUGCUGGGGCAGGCUAUGGAGCAAGUAACAGGCGGCAACCUCCUAUCCAUGCUACUCAUUACCUGCGCCUUCACGCUCAGCCUGGUCUACCUGCUCCGCCUCGCCGUCGGCCACCUGGCCCCACUGCCGGCUGGGGCGAAAAGUCCACCAUACAUUUUCUCUCCAGUUCCAUUCCUUGGACAUGCUAUAGCAUUUGGGAAAAGUCCAGUUGAAUUCCUAGAAAAUGCAUAUGAGAAGUAUGGACCUGUAUUUAGUUUUACCAUGGUGGGCAAGACGUUUACCUACCUUCUGGGGAGUGAUGCUGCUGCACUGCUUUUUAAUAGUAAAAAUGAAGACUUGAAUGCAGAAGAUGUCUACAGUCGUCUGACAACACCUGUGUUUGGGAAGGGAGUUGCCUAUGAUGUGCCUAAUCCAGUUUUCUUAGAGCAGAAGAAAAUGUUAAAAAGUGGUCUUAACAUAGCCCACUUCAGACAGCAUGUUUCUAUAAUUGAAAAAGAAACAAAGGAGUACUUUCAAAGUUGGGGAGAAAGUGGAGAAAAAAAUUUGUUUGAAGCUCUUUCUGAGCUCAUAAUUUUAACAGCUAGCCAUUGUUUACAUGGAAAGGAAAUCAGAAGUCAACUCAAUGAGAAGGUGGCACAACUGUAUGCAGAUUUGGAUGGAGGUUUUAGCCACGCAGCCUGGCUCUUGCCAGGCUGGCUCCCUUUGCCUAGUUUCAGACGCAGGGACAGAGCUCAUCGAGAGAUCAAGAAUAUUUUCUAUAAGGCAAUCCAGAAACGCAGAGAAUCAGGAGAAAAAAUUGAUGACAUUCUCCAAACUUUACUAGAUUCUACUUACAAGGAUGGGCAUCCUUUGACAGAUGAUGAAGUAGCAGGCAUGCUUAUUGGACUGCUCUUGGCGGGGCAGCAUACAUCCUCAACUACCAGCGCCUGGAUGGGCUUCUUUUUGGCCAGAGACACAACACUUCAAGAAAAAUGUUACUUAGAACAGAAAACAGUCUGUGGAGAGAAUCUGCCUCCCUUAACUUAUGACCAGCUCAAGGACCUAAAUUUUCUUGAUCGCUGCAUAAAAGAAACAUUAAGACUUCGACCUCCUAUAAUGACCAUGAUGAGAAUGGCCAAAACUCCUCAGACUGUGGCAGGGUAUACCAUUCCUCCAGGACAUCAGGUGUGUGUUUCUCCCACUGUCAAUCAAAGACUUAAAGACUCAUGGGUAGAACGCCUGGACUUUAAUCCUGAUCGCUACUUACAGGACAAUCCAGCAUCAGGAGAGAAGUUUGCUUAUGUGCCAUUUGGAGCUGGGACAUUCCUGCAAACAUCUGUAGGAGUGUAAUCUUUUUGCAGGUUGGAAAAAAUAUUUCAUUUGUACUAAAGGAAAUAGCUCUGUGAAUCCUUAUAAUGUUCUGUUACCUUCUAACCUAUCUAGUUUUAUCAGUUCUAAUCUUUAUAGUCCACCCUGUUUUCCCUUAUCAUAGUAUUUAAAGCUCUUUGUGAAUUCUGUUUUAAAGAACCAUUGGAGUUAGCACACCAUUUGGGCAAUUAUUUCAAGCUAAAUAUGAUGAGACAGUCAGCAUUUCAGAAAAGAGCAAUGGCAUGGAAGCUUUUCUGGAUUGUUAAUGAACUUUUUGGUUCUCUGCCUGUAUAUCCUGAUGAUAAGAUGGUCUUUAAAUUUGGGCAGGUUGUGCAUAGGUAUGCAAACCUCUGCAUUUCAAUUAAGAUCCUAAAAUAACACAGGCAGACUCUCAUUCCUCCAAUAAUUUCUCCAUUCACUGAUACUUUGUACAGAUUAAACUAUAUUCUAUGAAUUAUUUGUUUUUCCAAAGAGAUCAUUUAAGUGACAUGACAUUUUUGUCAUUGGUCACACCUUUUCCAUACAUAAACGAAAGUGUAAAGUCCUUUGGGAACUUCAGAUCUUAAUAACUAUUUAGUUAAGAAAUUCAGUAACAGUAUAUGACAUGAAUAUCAAUAAAAACAGUCAUAGCUUGUUCAAGUAGUUGGAAGGGGCAUUAGUUCUCCAGCCCCAAUUCUGCCCCAUUUCUAAACUGACAAUUAUCGGGCUUUUAUCUGGCGUUCGUGCAGACCCCAUUGGUUAACAGCUCAGUCCCACAAGACUGUCCCUCACCACUUUAGAUGCCAAUUACAAGUCCAGUUGUUACCUGUUUUUCUGACCAACUGGCUAUAAAUUCGAGGUUCUCUAGAUCCCCUCCUUGGGGUUCCAUAAUUUGUUAGAAUGGCUCACACAACUUAGAAAAGUUUAUUUACUAGAAUACUGGUUUACUAUAAAAGUAUACAACUCAGGAAUAGCGUGAUUGAAGAGAAGCAUAGAGCAAAGUAGAAGGAAGGGGUACAUAGCUGCCAAGCCCUCUGUGGGUAUGCCACCCUCCCAGCACCUCCACAUGUUUACUAUCCUCGAAGCUCUCUGAACACUGUCCCCUGUCCUGUCCCUUCUCUGUACUUCUGUAGGGAUUUUGUGGAGGCUUCAUUACAUAGGCACGAUUGAUUAAAUCACUGGUCAUUGGUGAUUAAUUCAACCUCCAGACCCUCUCUCUCCUGGAAGCUGGGGGGUAUUGCUGAAAGUUCCAACCCUCUAAUCACGUGGUUGGUUCCCCUGGCAGUCACCUCUCAUUAGCAAACUCAACUGUGGUUGAAAGGGGCUUGUUAUGAAUAACAAAAGGCUCUUUUCCUCUUUGACCUUUAUUGCUCUUUUCACUUAAGAAAUUCCACAGGUUUGAGGAGCUCUGUGCCAAGAUGGAAGACUAAAUACGUAUUUCUUAUUGCAAACCACAUUAUCACAGAUGCCAUACCUUAGUAUUGAAGUCAGAUUUGAAGUCAGUUUAAGUCCUCCAACUUGGUUCAUCUUGUUAAGGAUCGCUUUGGAUAUCCUAGUCCUUUUCAUUUCUGUAUGCAUUUUAUAAUCAGCUUGUCAGUUUUUACAUGUAUAUGAUCUUUUAAAUUUUGAUGUGUUGCUAUUUUUGGUUUAUUAAAUUUUUUUCUUCCAUUAUCAUUUGUAAUGGCAUUUCAAGUUUUGAUUGGAAGCCCCAUAUUAACUUUUGACUAUGGCUCUUUUGGGAUAGAAGUUAAGAAUAUUCUAGUAUAUUUCCAAACUAGAUUAUCAUCGUGUUUCAAACCUUACUUAUUUUUAACCUAGAUAGAUGUUAGGUUUCAAAAAAACAAUCGGAAAAAUGAUUGUAUAAUUACCCAUGUGCUGUUUCCCCUAGUAACAGACAUUAAAAAUCUCUUGGGAUUUUUGUUAUUUACAUUCUUGUGAAAAGAUUGUCAUCUUUUUACUAUAGUAUCUGUAUGUCUCCUAUUCACCUUAAGUGUAGAUAAACAAAUUUUAUCA